CCUGGUUUCACCACUCACCCACAGGUCACCUUGGACCAGUGCCCCAUCUUUGGAAUCAGGAAAAUACUGUCAACCACUCUGGGUUGGUGUGGAGAAUUAAAGAAGGAGUAAGACAAUGGGAAGGCGUGUGCGUGCCUGCUUUCCUGACCGGCAUCAGUGUGCAGGAAAGCUGGGGAGGGGUCCAAGGCCCCCGUGAAGCUCGCCUCCCGCUGGAGACCAGGAGCAGCAGCUGCAGGUGAAAGUUGUGAGGGUACCGCCGCUUGAGCUUGGUCGCCUGAGAUCUAGAGGGCAGAAGCCAUCGGAAUGAGCCAAGGAAGAGGAGAACCUCCAGGGAGAGCUUCCAGAUCAUGUUCCAGAGCACCUCGCGGUGGGUGGGUCAGAGGAAGAGCUGCCAGUGCCACCACCCAGGGGUCUGUAGGCAGAGUAGGGGCCUGCACCCCCAGGCUUCAGCAUGUGGUGGUGGGGUGGGCUGACUUAGAGCAGGAAACCUGGGGCUCUCUUCUCCAAGCUGGGGGCAUGCAGGAGGCAAGCCCAGGGUCAAGAGCUGGAGUAUUUUCCCCAAGUGUGAAGGGAGAUUCCUGGUUCAGAGAGAAGGUCCCAGGCCUAGAGUCUCUGAAGCUCCUCACAAAGCACCCCCAAGGAGCAAGCCUCACAGCUGAGGUCAAGGGCUACAGCCCAGAUGAGGUGAGGCUGGCCUCCCUGCCCCUAAGCAGCCCCUGGGGCCCAGCACGGUUCCAGCCUCCUGUCCCCCUGUUGGUGUCCAGGCCCAGGAGACCAUCUGCCUCUGAACACAACUUCCCAGCUUCAGGGGACUCUGCCAGUUCUUUCUCAUCCUGUCCUGGAAAAUCAUGAAAACUGCUUACAUUGUUUUAAUCCAAACUCCAUUCUGGAGCUUUAAAUGUUCUUGGCUUGUUUAAAAAAUAACAAUCUGGAUUUUCCAG
ensembl:lncRNA